CUUUGUUAGAGAGGGUAGCUAAUCCGCUCCAUUGCCUUUGCUUCCUUGGAUCUUCUUUCUUCAAGGGCGACAUGGGAUGAUGAGGAACAGCAGCAGACAGCUUCUGGACUCCAGGAUGAACACGCCUGCCUCUUGAUGUGUUGAACAGCCGGAUAGAACAGAUAGCUUCUUCACUGCUUCAAAUGACAUGGGGAGUGCUUGGUGCUUCAGCGGAAGAGAGAACCAAGUUCACAUGAACCUGGCUCUGAUACCAUAUGAGAUUUUCAGAGAUCUCAGGUUGUGUGUGUGUAUAAGCUCCAAUGGAGCAAGCUGAGACGAUUAGAGUUUGUUUUAGGUGAUUUUAGAGAGAGAGUUUAUAAGAGUGUUUAUGUGUUUACUUAAAUCAGAAACAAGAGACUUUGAGAGAUUAAUAGUAUAAGAAAGGGAGAGAUUAGAGAGAAUCUGAUUCAAGAACACAUUUCAUUAUGAAGUGGAGAGGGG
rnacentral:lncRNA from 1 species